AGCGAACGCUGGCGGCGUGCCUAACACAUGCAAGUCGAACGUGAAAAGGGAAACCUGAGUAAAGUGGCGUACGGGUGAGUAACGCGUAGGUAAUCUACCCCAGAAUCUGGAAUAACCUGCCGAAAGGCGGGCUAAUACUGGAUAGAGCGAGGGAACUCGUAAGAGAGUUUUUCGGGAAAGGGAGCCCGCAAGGGCCUUCGUUCUGGGAUGAGCCUGCGUCUCAUUAGCUAGUUGGUAAGGUAACGGCUUACCAAGGCGAUGAUGAGUAGCUGGUCUGAGAGGAUGAUCAGCCACACUGGAACUGAAACACGGUCCAGACUCCUACGAGAGGCAGCAGUGGGGAAUCUUGCGCAAUGGACGAAAGUCUGACGCAGCCACGCCGCGUGAGUGAAGAAGGCCUUCGGGUUGUAAAGCUCUGUCGGAUGGGACGAACAUCUUCAUAGUGAAUAGCUAUGAGGACUGACGGUACCAUCAAAGGAAGCACCGGCUAACUCCGUGC
rnacentral:rRNA from 1 species